UGGGGAAUUUUCCGCAAUGGGCGCAAGCCUGACGGAGCAAUACCGCGUGAGGGAGGAAGGCUUUUGGGUUGUAAACCUCUUUUCUUAAGGAAGAAGCACUGACGGUACUUGAGGAAUCAGCAUCGGCUAACUCCGUGCCAGCAGCCGCGGUAAUACGGAGGGUGCAAGCGUUGUCCGGAUUUAUUGGGUUUAAAGGGUACGUAGGCGGAUGAUUAAGACCGUGGUGAAAGCUCUCGGCUCAACCGGGAAACUGCCAUGGAUACUGGUUAUCUUGAGUACAGUAGAGGUGGGCGGAAUUCAUGGUGUAGCGGUGAAAUGCAUAGAUACCAUGAGGAACACCGAUAGGGAAGCCAGCUCACUGGACUGUAACUGACGCUGAGGUACGAAAGCGUGGGGAGCGAACAGGAUUAGAUACCCCUGUAGUCC
rnacentral:rRNA from 1 species